GUUAGGCUGUGUCUUGAACCUGUUGAAACAGCGACAACAGAGAUAAGUGUCUUGCGUAGCAUAAAUAGAGCUUAAAUUUAUGGAAAACAUCACUCGAGGGUUAAUCUUCAGCAGUGCUGUGUUUUUGAUCACUUCAGGCAAUCUUUUUCGAUAAUUCGAUUAUUCAAACAUUCUUCAGCAUGGGUGACGAUGACAAAACCACGCAGAUCCAAGCAUUGGAAAAAGAAAUUGCUGAUUUGAAAAAGAAAGCUGAAGGAGGAGAAGAUGUUAGCGAAGCACUUGCAACGAAAGAGAAAGAACUAGCCGAUUUAAAGUCACCACCAAAAGCAGCUGAAUAAUUUAAUCCUAUAUGAAAUAUAGUGAAAUAUUUAUUGUAGAUAAAAAUUUUAAAUCGAAUUAAUAUAUGUGAUUUUCACUUAACGUCGA